UUUUUAUAAAGGAAUUACUAUAGUUAAAAAAGGCUGAAAGGAAAAAAUAUAAUGAUUUGUUUCCAGAAAGGGAGUGACUUACUUCAAAAUGUCAUUUUAAAAUUUUUAUUCUUUAAUGAUAUUCUGGUGUUAUUACCAAAUGUUUAGCAGUAUGAAACCUAUAAUAUUAUAUACCAUACUAUAUACCCUAUUUUACUUAUAAAGUUAAUAAUCUGUAAAGUAAUUUGUAAAAAUUUUUUAAUUGUAAAAUUGCUACAUGAGAAGACAAGUUGUUAGAUGAAAUUCAAAUAUUUUCUAUGUUUGUGUUGUGUAGGUCAAAAAAUAAUAAACAAAGAUGAUAUUGAUUGUGAUGACCAAGAGGUUCAUUUUAAGACACAUCAAUCUUCAUUAUCUUUAAAUAAAAAGGAUAAACAUUAUGGAUUUCCAUUAUCUCAAGCAAAAACUAAGAGUUCAAAAUAUUAGUGGUAAGAACUGUCAAAAACUUGUGAUAGCUAUGAUGAAGAGAUUUGUGACAAAUUCGCUCAUGGCCAAAUCUAAUAUGGCAGCUGGAAAAGGCAAAGGAUCUUUUUAGCCUAACUAAGCUACACAAUUUAAUAAAAGUUUGUGCAUCGACUUCUCACGAAUCAUACACAGAGUCGAUUGACGAUGCAAUAAUUGCUGAUUCGUAAAAACGGGCAACUUUUGCUUGUCUUAAAGUGCCUUAAAUCCAUCGUUAUAAUAUUACUUUGUUUGUAAAUUGUUUUGAAAAAUAAAUUUAAAAAUAACUUUUAAAUAAA